UACGUAGGUCCCGAGCGUUGUCCGGAUUUAUUGGGCGUAAAGCGAGCGCAGGUGGUUUAUUAAGUCUGGUGUAAAAGGCAGUGGCUCAACCAUUGUAUGCAUUGGAAACUGGUAGACUUGAGUGCAGGAGAGGAGAGUGGAAUUCCAUGUGUAGCGGUGAAAUGCGUAGAUAUAUGGAGGAACACCGGUGGCGAAAGCGGCUCUCUGGACUGCAACUGACGUUGAGGCCCGAAAGCGUGGGGAGCAAACAGG
rnacentral:rRNA from 1 species